GCAAGCCACUAUGGUUGGCCCUUUCCAGCUUUAUUGAGCUAAGCUUUCUGGCCCCCAGAUCUGCACCUGACCUUUACCACCUCCUCAUCAUCCACUCUGGUCUGCAUCCUCUUGACCGCGUCUGAGUCUCCUUUGGGGCUGGAUGUCUGCUUCAGCAUUAGGAAAUGGACACAUCUAUAGAAUCUCUCAUGGCAACACACCAAGUAUUGUAAACUUCGUCCUUUCAACAAGUUAUAUUACUAAAAAUCGACAAACUGAACUCACAUGAAUGUGUACUUACAGAGUUGUGGCUCCUGAUUCUAUUUAAGGAUCUUAACUUCACUCUCACAGAUGGACCCACCUGUGGCUACGUUUACACACUAUGAUCCUAGCUAUUUUUCCUAGUGUUGGAAUGUUGGUCUGAGAUAUGGAAAUGACAGACCAUUCAUUGAGAAGUGCAGAAAAAAAGGAGAGCUACACAAUUUACCCAAGAGGUAUUUAUAAUCAUUGGGUAACAUCAAAAUCGGCAAUUAUGUAAAUUGGAAACCUUGGUUUUUAUUCAGUGGAGCUGUAUUAAAUCUUCAUUGGUACAGGAGAAAAGUGAGAGUUUAAUUUUAUACAUUCUUUCGAAUUCAAUUUAUGAUCACAUAAAUGUGCUUUUCCAUAUUAACUUUCUCAUAAAGAGCACAAUUUUCACUUUGAGGAAAAAUAGUAUUUCAGUGAACAAAUUCAAGAGCCCUUUAUAUCUGGCUUCAGUUAUGGGAAAAUAAAUCUAGAAGUCCUGACUGUGUUGAUUAAACUCUUAUAACUUUACAAGAUUAGAGCAAGAGUCUUUGAAAAUAAAAAGUCUUGAUUGAUAAUAAUGUUGAAAAUAUUAUUGUUAAAAACAAGGUCAUCCAUAUGUAUGAUUAAAGGUGGAAAGAGUUUGAAAUUCACCUCCAAUUUCUCAGUGAAGUAUGAAAGACAGCCAGAGAGUUU
rnacentral:lncRNA from 1 species